UACGGAGGGUGCAAGCGUUGUCCGGAAUCACUGGGCGUAAAGGGCGCGUAGGCGGCUCGGUAAGUAGGGGGUGAAAUCCUGCGGCUUAACCGCAGGGCUGCCUUCUAAACUGUCGAGCUUGAGCACGGUAGAGGCAGAUGGAAUUCCCGGUGUAGCGGUGGAAUGCGUAGAGAUCGGGAAGAACAUCAGUGGCGAAGGCGGUCUGCUGGGCCGUUGCUGACGCUGAGGCGCGACAGCGUGGAGAGCAAACAGG
rnacentral:rRNA from 1 species